rnacentral:piRNA from 1 species
GAAUUUUUGUUAGAGAGCGAGAGAG